AAGGCAUGAUGUGAGCACCUCUUUAAUAGAUCAUUGUAUCUAUCCCAAGCUUCAUAUAAAGUUCACCUUUAAAUCGGGUAAAAGUGGUAAUACCACCCCUAAGCUU